UCCAUGGGAGAAGCAUGAUUUCCCAGCAGGGUCCACAAUCGCUCACCACGUCCUUGGCUGGUGGUAGAGGUUCCUUUGGCUCCGUGCCACUGCUGAGUGGGCCAUUGACCCUCCCACCACUUCUUUUCAUUCUCCGUGGGUCGAGUUGUUUGCCUAGUUAGUCCCAAUGUGAGAACCUGGAUAUUUCAGUUGAAGGUGCUGAAUUCACUCACCCGUUUUCAUUCUUCUCUGUAAGUGCCUCAGACCACAGCUGUUUCUAAUCAGCCAUCUUGGAUUCACCUGAAGGUUAUUUUAAAGUCAUCUAGUUUCAUGGCUUUAAGAAACACCUGUAUUCUGGCCACUCCCAAAUUCAUAUUUCAGCUCAGAUCUUUCCCUGGGCCUCCAGAUAAGACAGAGCCGCGUGUCCAACAUCUCCCACCCAUAACAUCGAAACUCAAGCGUCUGUUCUGCUCACACAGAUCAGACCCACCCUGUUGUCCCCUGUUUGGGGACUGGAAACCCCUACUUUGCUCUGGCCAGAAACCUCAGGGACAUCCUCUACGCCCCCCACUCACAGCCAGGCAGCAAAUUCUGUGGCCUCCAACCUCGACGUGCAUCGGAUCCUGACGGACCCCUGCAUUUCUGACCUGGGUGCUGAAGGAGCCACCCCUGGUCUUCAGUCUAUUCCAAAGGAGCAGCCACAAUUAGCCUUCAAAAUUUUAAGUCAAGUACAUCAUCCUGUGCUCAAAAUGGCUUUGGGCUCAUUCGGAGUAAAAGCUGAACUCACUAAAGGAGACUGGGUCACUGUGUGAGCUUGUCUCUGUCCACCCCCAGCCCUGCGUCAGCCUCCGCCUCUGACAGCCACAGGGCUGCCCCUCCCCCUCUUCAUGUCUUUACCCAGACAUCGCGCAGGGAGGCCUUCUCUGACUCAAAGUGCACCCCCGGGGCUCCCAGUCUCUUUUCUCAGCUCUAUUUUUCCCAUAAAGGAAUCACCUUCGUGUUGUAGAAGUCACUUGUUUGCGAUGUUUAUAUUUCCCAUAAGCUCUGGAAGACAGUUUUGUCUCUUUUGUUCACUGAUGUUCCCAGGAGGAAGAACAGUGGCUAGCACAAGGUAGGUGCUCCAUGAGUAUUUGUGGAAUGAACUAGCUAAACAGUUUAAGUAAUUAAAAUCCAUGGAUGGAACCUUAAGCUCUUUGCUAGGAUGGGCUACAGUGAAACGCCCUUCAUUACCCAAAUCCUCCACACACCUGCUACUCACCAGGGUCGCUGACGGGAGUGAGGGGCAGGGCCUGGUGUCCAGGCCUGGGGUGCUGGAUUUUGUUCUGCUCACACAGAUCAGACCCACCCUGUUUCCCUGUUUGGGGACUGGAAACCCCAACCUUGCUCUGGCCAGAAACCUCAGGGACAUCUUCUGUGUACUGGGAGACUGCUAGGACGUCUUGAUCAGGAAAAUGACGGGACCAGAUCGGUCGUUUCAGAAAAAUCUCACUGGCCACAGCAUGGAAGAAGGAUGGGGUGGACUAAGCUGAGGCUUGGACCACUCUCGCCGCUUGGUCCCCGCACACGCCUCUGCCUUGUUUCUGCUCAGACCUGGGCACUGGCAGCCGCCCUGCUGGGCAGAUCAAGGCAGCGAAAGCAUUUGUUCAAAAUGCUGACAGGAGAUGGCUUGCCCCAGCCACCUUGGUUGUGAAAGAGGAAUUUCAAAAGCAGUUGCUGAGGAUCCCACUAGGCUUCAAGAACACGUGGCCUCUCUCAAAUUCAAGGCACCAAAGGUGGGGGCGGACUGAAGGGACGUGAGGGAGCCCCACGGGACAGACGGGGGCAAGCGGCCCAGCCAGGCCACAGGGGCUGCCUCAGCCCAGUCACCUCCCUCCUCGGGCGUUUGUUCUGCCCCUUUCUACCCAAAGCCGGCCACCCACCUGCCCUAUAACAACCCACCCAUGUCUCUGUCGAGGGCAGCAGGCACCCCAGGCUGCUAAGACAUGCACUCUGAGCGCCCUCCCAGCCCAGGGACUGUCCCCAAGGUCCAGCUGCCCUGGGGCCCUAAGCAGCCACUCCCACUUCUUGUCAUCACAGCCGAUUAAGGACCUGCAGAUGAGGGCAUCCUAUCCCACCCCAGCGCUGGGGGCUAUGUUCAGGCCAGGAGAAGCCACCAAACACUGCCACCAUCUUCCUGGCUCCAGAGGCUCUGUGCCAACACCAGGCCCCCUUGGGCCCACCUAGCCCACAGACCUUGGAGGCAGGUGCAUGAGCAGGUGCAUCCAUCCCAUGGACUCUGAUGGGCUGUCAGGAAGGACGCAGGUAGGAGCCCAGGUCUUGCCCAGCAGGUGCAGUUCCAAGGCUGCCUCUGGGUGGCGUGCUUGGACCAGUCAGGUGCCCUGUGUUCACCUAACACCGCAGAACCCGUUUCCGGCUGCCAGGGCGAUGCAAGCCAGUGGAAGCACAAACGCAGUCAUUGCUCAGCCCUGCCCAGGCCUUGAGGGUGGAGGGUCAGGGGCCUCUGCACAAAGGCUUUGAUCCCCCAAAUACACACAGACCCCCACUUUCCUUGUUAGUUUUCUAACACUUGCAUUGCAAGCUACCACAGAGUAGGUGGCUUCAGCAGUGGAAAUGUGUCCUCUGACCAUUCUGAAGGCUGAGCGUCUGGGAUGAAGACGUUGGCGGAUGUGGUCUCCACAGAAGCCUCUCCUUGGUCUGCAGACAGCUGCUCUCUCACUGCCUCUUCACGUGGUCUUCCCUCCACGCGGGCUCACCCAGGGGACUCUGUGACCGGGUCUCCUCGUCUUACAGGAAUGCCAGUCAUGUUGAAUUAGAGCCCCACCUUCAUACCUCAUUUCUACUUAAUCACCUCUUUAUUUUUAAAAUUUAUUUAUUUUAUUUAUGUCUUUUUUGACACUGAGUCUCACUCUAUUGCUCAGGCUGGAGCGCAGUGGCACAAUCUCGGCUCACUGCAACCUCCACCUUCUGGGUUCAAGCGAUUCUCUUGCCUCAGCCUCCCGAGUAGCUGGGAUUACAGGUACAUGCUACCACACCCAACUAAUUUUUUGUAUUUUAGUAGAGACAGGGUUUCGCCAUGUUGGCCAGGCUGGUCUUGAACUCCUGACCUCAGGUGAUCCACCCGCCUCGGCCUCCCAAAGUGCUGGGAUUACAGGCGUGAGGCACCGUACCCAGCCUAAAUUACCUCUUUAAAGAUCUUACCUUCAAAUAUGAUCACAUCAUGAGGUACCGGGGGCUGGGACUUCAACAUGAAUUUUGUGGGACACAAUUUCAAUCCAUAACACUGACGUAAGGUUCUUGCACUGUAUGUGAAGUGGUAUAAUAUGUAAAUGUGACAAUUCAUAGAGAAAGAAAUGUCUUUUCAACCAGUGAUGCUGGAACUAUUGAAUAUGCAUGUGCAAAAAGAAAAGCCUCAAUCUAUACCCGGACCACAUAUAAAAAUAACUCAAAAUGCACUGUAGACGUAAAUGUCACACCUAAGACUACACAGUUUCUAGAAGUAAACAUACGCGAACACUUCUGUGAUCUUGAGUGGACAAAUAUUUUUUAGCCGUGAUAUCAAAAGCAUCAUCUAUAAAAACUAUAAACCAGCACAACUUUUCUUCAGGGUUAAGCAUUGCCUCUUUUUUUCCAAAAGAAGAAAAAAAUGCAUUGUGGUAAAAUACAUAAACAUAAAAUGUACCAUCUUAACCAUUUUAAGUAUGCAAUUCAGAGGUAUUAAAUAUGUCAUGAUGGCUGCACAUCAUGAAUAUAUUCAACAUGUAAAAGGUUUAAUAUGUAAAAGGAUGUAAAAGGUUUCAUCUCCAGAACCUUUUAGUCUUCCCAAACUGAAGCUCGCCACCAUUAAACAUUCACUUCCCCCUCUCCCGUCCCCACCCCGGCACCCAACAUUCCACUUUCUGUCUCUGGGAAUGUGACCUGUGACUGCUCCAGGGACCUCUUACGUGGAAUUACACAGUAUUUGCCCUUUUGUGUAGGCUUAUUUUAGUCAGCGCAGUGUCCUCAAGGUUCAUCCGUGCUGUGGUGAGUCUCGGAAUCUCCCUCCUUUUUAAGGCUGAAUAACAUCCCAUCGUAUGAAUGGGCCACGUUUUCUCAUCCACUCGUCCCUUAACGGAGGCUUGGGUUGCUUUCAUGUUUUAGCUGUUGUGAAUAGUGCUGCUAUGAACACGGUGUACAAACGUGUCUUUGAGACCUGUGGGGUGGUUUAUGGUAAAGAAUUGCGUCUCCUUUUCUGCAGCUGUAAACAGAGGGAAUUGUUUUCACUACUUACUUUGUCAAGAUUUAUUUCACCAGAAAUUGGGAGAGCUGGCAGGUUUUUUUUUUUCAAAGGGAUACUGUCUUGCUCUGUAGCCCAGGCUGGACAUGAACUCCUGGGCUGCAGUGAUCCUCCUGCCUCAGCUCCCGAGCGGCUGGGACCACAGGCACACACCACACGCCCAGCUAACUGGCAGGUUUUAAGGCCAGGUGUACGAAUUCCAUUAAUUAAUUCUAAGAGGGAAAAAAGACCAGAGUGGGAAGUUCAAAGUUGACAGAACAUAAAAAAGCCAGAAAUAUGUUAUUGACCCAUGGAAGAUUGACACAUGGAAGAUGGACCCAUGGAAGACUGACACAUGGUAGAUGAUUGACACAUGGAAGAUGAUUGACCCAUGGAAGACUGACACAUGGUAGAUGAUUGACACAUGGAAGAUGAUUGACCCAUGGAAGACUGACACAUGGUAGAUGAUUGACACAUGGAAGAUGGUUGACCCAUGGAAGACUGACACAUGGAAGACUGACACAAGGAAGAUGAUUGACCCAUGGAAGACUGACACAAGGAAGAUGAUUGACCCAUGGAAGACUGACACAUGGAAGACUGACACAAGGAAGAUGAUUGACACAUGGAAGAUGAUUGACACGUGGAAGAUGGGAUGUGCCCUGUUUUGCAGGUGCUGAGUAUCAAUGUCAUCCUUGCAGCUGAGAACCCGGCUCCCAUGCUGAUGGAAAAAAUUAAAAUUAAAGCUUCACUGAUCAUCCUAA